GACGUAGGGCGCGAGCGUUGUCCGGAUUUAUUGGGCGUAAAGAGCUCGUAGGCGGCUCGUUGCGUCAACCGUGAAAACCCGGGGCUUAACUUCGGGCUUGCGGUUGAUACGGGCGGGCUGGAGUUCGGUAGGGGAGACUGGAAUUCCUGGUGUAGCGGUGAAAUGCGCAGAUAUCAGGAGGAACACCGGUGGCGAAGGCGGGUCUCUGGGCCGAUACUGACGCUGAGGAGCGAAAGCGUGGGGAGCGAACAGGAUUAGAUACCCUGGUAGUCCACGCUGUAAACGUUGGGCGCUAGGUGUGGGGGGCCUCUCCGGUUUCCUGUGCCGUAGCUAACGCAUUAAGCGCCCCGCCUGGGGAGUACGGCCGCAAGGCUAAA
rnacentral:rRNA from 1 species